CGUGGCCGUGGCGGGAGAGUAGGCUAUGGCGGGCCAAGCGACAGGAGCAGUUUCCAAGCACCAGCCAUCGAAGACCCGGGGCAAUUCCCUACCUUGGGUGGUAAAUGAGAUGUUACUUGUGCUGCUUCUGCCGCUCAUUGUCCAGUUUCCUAUCAAUCGUGCGGGAGAGAAUAUGAACAAUUAGUUGUGACAUUGAUGCUCAGUUUUGCUUCGUGAAAUCUGAAAAACACGUUUUAGUUGUUUGUUUUGACAUUACAUUCUGAAAUCUGAAGUAUAUUGCCUUUUAUUACUCUUUUCAUAUCCCUUGUCGAAUAUCUUGUGCGUUUAAGGGUGAUUCUAACUUUAUAAACACUAUAUCUAACUUUAGGGUGAUUCUAUUCAUAGCCCCCAUUUUAGUCCUUAUAGCCCCUUUUUAAAAAAUUAAUAAUAAUUAAUUAAGAAUUUACUAUUUUACCCUAUCUUUUAUAGUCCCCAAAUUAAAUUAAAUUCUAAUUUAACAAGUUAAUUUAAAGUCUAGCACUAAAUUGAAAAUUUGUUUUGCUUUGUUGAAAAUCUUCGAAAACAAGAUUCAGAUCAAAUCAGCUACGAAAAAUGACAUCAAAUUCACUGGUAAAUGAGAAAGCUUGAAACAUCGAGUGUUUCGUUACUCUAUUUGACAGUUGUUUUUUUUAUUGCUAUACCAAUCCAAUUUUCGUGCAAUUUGUGAAUCUGAGAAGCUAGCUGAAAAUUGGCAUCAAAGAAUCUAAUGGAUGAGAAUACUUGGAAUAAAAAUUGAAUACUAUGUUACACCAUCGGAAGGUUGUUUUUAGAUUGCUAUACCAGCCUUCGACGUCAACAUAAG
rnacentral:lncRNA from 1 species